UUUUAAUGGAGUUACAUUUUUUAGAGUUAAGAUUUUCACAUAAUUAUUUAGAUUAUGUAUGAUUUAGCUGAAGUAUAAUUAUAAUUUGAUGGUUUUUAGUUUUGGGGGACAAGUUAUUUGGGUAUAGUCUCCAAAGUAUACAUGCUUCCUGUGUUGACGUAGAUUCGAUAUGAUCCUUCAUAAUUGGGAGCGAACUUAUCUUUCAAGUGUUUCCCCUUCG
rnacentral:lncRNA from 1 species